UGACCCCGCAGACACUGGGAGACGA
rnacentral:piRNA from 1 species